GCCUGGGUGGCUCAGUCGGUUAAGCAUCCGACUUUGGCUCAGGUCAUGAUCUCACGGUUCGUGAGUUCGAGCCCCACAUCAGGCU
rnacentral:tRNA from 1 species